GGCAUGGUGCUUUGGUGGUUAGAAUGUUUGCUUCACAACUCUGGGGUUGUGGGGUUCGAUUACCCACCUUUGCCC